AUUGAACGCUGGCGGCAUGCCUUACACAUGCAAGUCGAACGGCAGCACGGGAGCAAUCCUGGUGGCGAGUGGCGAACGGGUGAGUAAUAUAUCGGAACGUGCCCAGUCGUGGGGAUAACGUAGCGAAAGCUACGCUAAUACCGCAUACGAUCUAUGGAUGAAAGCGGGGGAUCGCAAGACCUCGCGCGAUUGGAGCGGCCGAUAUCAGAUUAGGUAGUUGGUGAGGUAAAGGCUCACCAAGCCGACGAUCUGUAGCUGGUCUGAGAGGACGACCAGCCACACUGGGACUGAGACACGGCCCAGACUCCUACGGGAGGCAGCAGUGGGGAAUUUUGGACAAUGGGCGCAAGCCUGAUCCAGCAAUGCCGCGUGCAGGAUGAAGGCCUUCGGUGUAACUGCUUUUGUACGG
rnacentral:rRNA from 1 species